GGCAUGGCCACGGCAUAACCACGGAGCAGCGGUGGAGCCGCGCGCGCGCGCGCUCGGGGCGGCAGCGCAAGGCGCCCGGUGCCUUGCUGCAGGUUUUUGGGGGGUGCCAGAAACGUGGAUGUGUCUGUCGGCGAGACCUUCAGAAGGACAAAACGUCACCGUGAUCUCCGCUACUGAGAGCUGCCCCGCGGUCGGUGUCACAGGAUUUCCGCCAGCUUGUGCUUAUCUUCUAGAUGAAUCUCCCAGGGAGAAAAAGUGCGACAGGGACACACAGGUUUCUAUGUGGAUUCCAAGGAAGUCACAAUGUGAGGGCCCACGAGUGAGCAGAUUAGUUUCAGCUGCCAUUCCAGUCUUGCCUGAGAUGGAGGAAUUAACCCACCCCAAAUCCGGAGUGUCACUGCAGUGGAGGAACAUCUUCAGUAUUACACUCUGGCAUAGCUGCAUGGAGACUGAUUUAUGGCUGUUGAGGAUAAGGUCCAUGGUGCUUGGUAAUCUGUGUCUGACUUGGUUUAUGCAUCUAAUUAUUAUCAAGGCUUUUGGAAGCCAUCCUUGGGUCCCUUACGUAUUUCAGUGCAGUCAUGAGUUUCUCCCCAGUGCAAUUGUAUAUCUUCAUGCAUCGUUCCUUUUUCUCUUGCCUUUCGGUUUUCUAAGAGAUCUUAGAGUUCCACAGCCAAGAAGAACAAGAAAGAUGAGGCCUAUUUUCCCCAUUCUUUGAUCUCUAAUAAAUUGGAGCCAGUAAAUUAUAUCUGCUAGCA
rnacentral:lncRNA from 1 species